rnacentral:lncRNA from 1 species
CCAAGCAAAUGGAAAACACAAAAAGGCAGGGGUUGCAAUCCUAGUCUCUGAUAAAACAUGUCUUUCUUUACAUGGUGGCAGCAAGGAGAAUAGUGAGCAAAAGGGGAGAAAGGCCCUCAUAAAACCAUCAGAUCUCAUUAGAACUCACUCACUACCACGAGAACAGCAUGGAGGUAACUGCCCCAUUGAUUCAAUUACCUCCCACCAGGUCCCUCCCAUGACACAUGGGGACAAUGGGAAUUACAAUUCAAGAUGAGAUUUGGGUGAGGACACAGACAAACCAUAUCACUUUUAGUCCUUGCUUCCUUGGGGAAUUUCUUUUUCUUAUGUCCUAUACCUUCAGUAACCUCAUAGCCAUAUCUUCUACUAACUUCUCAGCACAUUGUAGAAAAUAUUGCUUUUAACCAUUACGUUAGUAUUUUUAAAAUAAGAAAGAAAACUGGAUUUGGCAAAAAAAAAAAAAAAAAAAGAAGAAGAAGAAGAAGAAAGAGUUGUAUAGUACUUCUAUAAUGUUUGUAGUAAAAGAAUAGUUAAUAUUUUUGUUAUUAGAAAAUUGAAGUUACUCGUGGUUUCCCAAAGCUGUGAUCUUACCUUUUAUAUUUGUCUUCAAACUCCCUACUUUUCUCCAAUCCCUGAUGUUUGAAUCACUUCAGACUCUCAGGAAAAGGAUUUUAGAUGUUAGAAAGUUUGGAGACCAAAUGCAGAUUUAUACGCAGUUCCAAAUACAAACAUGGAAGUGAAGAUGGCCAGAGAUUUUACUGUAAAAUUAACCUACUUAGGAAUGUUUUAGCUUCCUGUAUUAAAGGGCAUAAAUUCCUGUCUUAACAAAUACACAUAUAUGUUCAUUAUAUGGCAAAUGCCUGUUGAUGCAGAAAGGUUGAGGAUGUGAUAUGCUGAUAAACUGAACAUUCUAGAAAUGAAUUCACUACAUUCAGCACAUGAAAUGAAAAUGUCCACGUUCAAUGCAGAACACUGAGCAGUAUCACAAAGACUUUAAUCUCUGGCAAUCUGAAGGCACAUCAGGGUCCACCCUCCAACCAUAGUCACCCCUCUCUGGGCAUCAGCUGUCAUCAUCCAGUGUUGUGGUCCUGGAGAUUAGCCUGAAACUGCCUGAUCUUACCCUGUGACUGCUCUGGAAAUUGCACUUUUGAAUCCACUCCCCAAUAACUAUUUGUUCACUUCACAUUUUUCCUUUAUGCACAACGAUCUAGUCAGAAGUGGGUGGAGAGAAACCCCCACCACUGGGUUGCUUUCGUUGCUGAGAUAACAUUGGGACUGAGAACUGGGUCUUCAAUGAUGACUCAUGAAGCCUGUGCUACCUCCACACUCCCGGUGGCUGUGGCUCUGGGAGCACACGUGGUGGCCUGGGCCUCAUAGGUCACCACCAGCAGGAAAGCAGCUGGGAGCCCAGCUCCUAUGAGGCCCAUAGUAGCCAUCUUUGUAUACAAAGACCUGCCUGUUUUGUGUCCAUUCCAAUACUGCAUUUAAGAGCCUUUCUGCCUUCUCUGGCAAUGUUAUGUGUGCUGAAUACUACAUGUAUCAAGAAGAAAGGAAUGGAAACCUCCAUGACAGUAUUCGGCUACCUCUUCAGAUAAUUUACCCAAAUCUUUCAGAUACAUUUAAACAAUUCUUUUGUCUAUGAUUUAACUGUUACAAAUAAUGCCAGUGUUCAAAUCUGAAAAUAUUCUUCACAUAGCUGGCGUUGCCAUUCUCUACUUACAAUCCCACUGUGACUCUAGGCAUAUAAUGUUCUUUUGCAUAAAAUGUUCUUCUGCCUUUAUCUCUCUUCUCUGCUUCCUGCCAAGCUUCCAUUCCAAUGUCCCUCCAUUCCCUUUCCAGUCAGAGACCAGGUGCUUCUCUGCCUGCCUUGCUAAUCUCUCCUGCAUCCAUUCACCUGUCUCCAUACCCCUGCUAUUAUCCUAGCCAGGCCUGUAAUUUUUAGAGCUGAAAAGAACCACCUCGUCCAAGCCUUUGCUUUCGAAUGAGGAAAAUCACCUAAAGAAAUGAAGUUAAUGGUCGUUGCUUCAGGACUGUAGCUUGAAUAUGACCAUAACACCACCUUUCUCUAGACCUAUACACACUAUCACACAGCCAGUGUCUCUCCACCUCAAUACAUCCUGCAGAGAUUCCAGGCUGUUCUUUCUGAGCCACUGCCACUAGGCUCCUUCUCAGCUCAAAACCUUUAGUGAUCCUCCAUUGCCUCCAGAAAAAAAUCCAAACUUCUAAAACUCACAUUCAACCAUCAAGCUCACUCUUCCCAAUCCUACCCUUUAGAUACACUUUGCAACCAAGUCAACUGACCUAUUCAUCCCCAGGUAUUCUUCACCUGUCCAGGUGAGCUUUUACUCUCACACCUAUGUGCAGGCAACUCACAAGUCUGGGUCCCACUCCUAGGUGAGAGCAAAUAUUGAGUGCCCCACUUUCCAAGAAUGCCUUCCUGGUUCCCACCAAUUAAAAAUCAUCUCUCCUCUACUAUUAGUGACACAGUUUCUCAUUCAUAUCUCCCUUAUGUCACCCAUUAGCUUGUAUAACAAUUUUGUGAACACACUCACUUGGAUAGUCUCUGUAGGUCUAAAGCUUCUUACAGAGAAGAUCCUAGUGUGUUUCACUUUUGCAUAUAGUACCCACAACUCUUGCUUAUAGCACCCACUCACCUAGGAUUCAGAAAUGAACCAGUUUGUUCAUAUA